AUGAAAAGCAAACAAUGAAACUGUCAAUCCACUGAUAUUAUUUGAUGUUACUCAUGAAUCUCGACAGGUUCUGAUCCU